rnacentral:lncRNA from 1 species
ACAUCUUUCUGCAAUCCAGCAGGAAAAGCUGUAGAGAUUCACCCAGGAUAAUAGUGUCCUCGCUAUUCAGACAUUAUGAGUCCCAGAGGAUAACUCAUGUUGGAGACUAUCAGAUGAAAUUAAGCAAGAUCUACCUCUGAAAGCAAAGUGAAGUUCGAGGAGAAAAGGCUACCUUCAAAGUGAGGCUAUAAAGUUGCUUGAUUAUAAAGCGAGGGAAGAAGAUACUAUUGUGGAUAUGAAUUCUGAAUGACUGUAGACACAGAGCCCGUGUUCACGCUGUUAUACUAAAACCACCAUAACAACACGCCAGCCCUGAAAACGACAGUCUGGGCCAGGGAAAACAGACUCUAAUAAAAAGGAGGAAAAAUAUUGGA